CUCCAAUUCCCUGAAGGCGCCCUGGCUUCUUCCCACUCCGGAGUGAGGCCUCCACUUCUGUAGCAUGGGGUUGCCUAGCAACCCUGCGCGUGCAGCUCGGAAGGCCUUCCUAAAUUGGACCUCACAGCACAGGGCAUCUCCUUGUACAGCUGCCUGCAUCUUAACAAUCUGGCUCUGAAUAAUAACACAAUGGUAAUUGCAUUCAUGGACCCCAGGAGGGAGUUGACACCAAAGACUUGAGUUAAUGACAACGCUAACCUGAACUGUGAAUUCUCCUGCA
rnacentral:lncRNA from 1 species